AAUGGCACUGUCUGCAUGUCAAAACAAAAGGGGAGGAGUUAUCCCUGACCCCUUACAAAAAUGAAUGGAGACAAAGGGACAGUCGAGCAGCCAUCUGUUGUAAAACUUCGAUAAUAAAAAGAGAAAAAGAGCUCAUUCAACGUGGUCGAUUCAACAUGGCCGCUGUCAUUAGGCGCACAUUCGUUAAAGCCGUAAUUAACUUACGUGCUUGAUUAGAGUUUGUUCUCACCGCAUGUAACACAUAUUUUGAGUUACGAAAUCCUCUUAUGCAAGGACAGAAAACUUGGAUGAAUCGGCAGGAAGCAGACUUGCAAUCAGAUGAUACUGAUUGACCACAUGUCCUUCAAUUUCCUGCAUAGCUAUCAGGAAAGAAAAAAAACAGAGAAGAUAAAAAACGAUUGGUUCUAUAGUUCUAAACGAUAAAAUUUUUCACAGUACAUGUGAAUUGGAUCGAGUGCCAUCCUUUGCAUAAGUUGGCAAUCGAAGACAGCAAAACAACAAGCAACGAGAACUGGAAAGGCAAUUUAAAACAUGUUUCAUCCUCGAGCAGUACCCAUUUCUUACUAAUUCUUUCUAGAUAUAAUGAGUUAGCUUAACGUUUCUGGGGAAGAAAUCUCUCUUAGCAUUUUGCAAAUUUCAUGUUAGUCGGGAUUUCAUGCAUGUUGCUAGGAUAAAAAAAAACAACCGAAGCCAAGGCAAAGGGCGAACACAUCGCCGUUGACAGUACCUCGAAGCUAAUGUACUGUUUUAUUGAUGAGGAAUUUCAUGAAGUCCGAGGUCGAGCAAUUUCGAUUCCUCUCACUCCAAUGACGAACGGUCAAAAUAUUAUGGAAUUAAUUCAACUAAAGAUGGACGUACGGCUUCUAUGUCAUCGACUUCACCAGGGCCGACACGUUAUAAUAGCACAAGUCGACCAAUAAGCCAGCAGAGAAACAAUCACGAGGAGGACGACAGAAGCCGGUUAUUGUUAGCUGGACCUUUCCAGUGUUGUCCACGUGAAGUAAACAAGAUGCGGGUUCUCUGUGUUUUAUUUGCCAUGGAAAAAGAAUUUAUGCGCAACCAACCUCACAACUUGUACAAAUGUAAGAGAAGGUCGUGAGUGAAAUCUACAGCAUCAAGAAUAGCGAUGGAACGCAUCCGGGCGCCUCGUCAAAUGAAGGACGUCUGGUACUGUAAUCCGUGUCUGGCUGGCCAAGGACAAAACCUUUGAUUGCAUGUCGGUUUACAGAUAUUCUUCUAUAAACUUCGGAAUCUAAUGGAUGCUGGAAAUUCGUGGGAUUCAACUCUUGGUGUGGCAGACAAUCCCUUCAUUUAGGGACAUCAACCCGACAAACAGAAAUAGGAAUAACGGAUAGAUCGGGAAAGACUAUGCAAGUCUUAAGGGGGAAGGGAUUUCCCCGAAUUAUGUUUGGCCAAUGGCGAGCAACUAUUACCACGAAAAAUGGCAGUAGGAUGCGGGGCAUUUGAAUUUGCCGUGAAUAUCACAUUUUGAAUCGGAGCACCGGUGGCUCUGAAAUGCGUAGCCAAUCGUUGAAAAUGACUUCCCAAUUAGAUGUUGGUCUUUCAACGAACAAUUGUGUCGUUCGUUGGCGAAUUAGAAGAAACAGAUGUGGUGGCAGGCUGCUGAUGAUCUUGCGUUUCCUUUCGUUUGACUUCUGGGCAUGUUGCGAGUGUUUUUGUGUGCGGCUCAAGCCCCAAGGGUAGGGCACGAACGAGAGAGAAAAAUGUGAUGAGAAACAGAUUGUAGUUCCAUCCGUCUGGCAGCUGAGUACAGACGGCGCAGGCCAGCACUAGCACGAUGGCCACCAAUACCUGUUUAAAUGACGUAAUAGAACCUUCCUUAUGAUGCCAUUAUUUGCGAAUUGUUGCGUUGGUAAUGUAGUACUUGACAUGGGAAAAAAAAGUGACGAAUAGUGGGCCAACUUACCAAAACCUUCAUUUUUCUUUGUGUUGUGUGUGUGUCAAUGUGCUGUUGGCCCAGUGUUAUCGAAUUGAAUUCUUCUUGUUAACUAACGAAAGUCCAGGAAAAGCAGUCGGUCUUUAUAUACAUGUGCCUUGCUUUGUUGUGUUGCUCAUCCUUGGGAACGUGCAAUGUAGUGUUUACCGUUACAUGACCAGAGCUCUCCUUUGUGUGUGUGUGUCUGUCCUAUUGGAGCGAAAGUGGAGUUGCACUUGCCAUCGGCCAUUUGCGAAUGCAGAAUUUGCCUCUUUUUUUGCGCAUCUCGAGCUCUGGUGGUACCGCAGCUGUGGAUACCACAUUGACGUUAUUUGGCGUUCCGGUUCGACCUGGAGAACGGGACUUCAGCCCUUUCGCUAAUUGCAUCGAGCGUAAUCCGUCUAGCCGUUUUUUAUGGAUUUCGCAUUGAGGAUAACGACGGAACAGCUACGACCUCUUUUCCUCUUCUUGACGGGCACACGAAAAGUGAAUUUUUUUCCCCUUCGCCUUCCGCGGCGUCCACUAGACGACCCCGAAAACCUUCCAUUCAUGUUUUUCAAUGUCAAGCCGAACCUUGCACCGGCAAUUGCCCAUCAAGCCCUGCGUGUUUCGUGAAUUCAACGUUGGCCAGAAAUACGCAGUGGAUGGACUUACAUUUUCGCGUUCCAAAGCCUCUAGUCUUCAAUCUUUGUCAGCCAGAAGUUGCUGCAUUUCAAUCUGAAUUCAUCGUAGUUACAUUGUUGCUCGACAGUCGAUUCGGCGAUUACACACGCCAAAAUCAGCACACUCACAAGCAAUGAAUUGAAAAAGCGAGCCAUGGUUUCAAUUGGACAAGGCGUGAUACCAACUUGUUGCGGACUUCGUCUACAUUUGAAUCACAAAAGAGUCAUCGUAAUUUAUAGGUGGUCGGGGAUAAUGCAAAUAAGGGACGUUUAUUGGCCUCGCUGAAAGCGCCAGGCGCAUAGUUGCGAGCUGAACAGGUGGGGUUUACCUAACUGUGGAUGGUGGAGCCAUCUAUAAUAAAACUACACCUACGGGGUUGGUGUGCUAUCUACACAAAAAGUCUCACAUUGUAUGGAUGUUCACGCCAUCUACUGGAAAGCUGCCACACUAUGGAUAUGCCUGCAUAUGAAAAUUGUAUAAUUAUGUGGAGCCAUCUAUUGGAAAUUGUG